rnacentral:lncRNA from 1 species
UGCCCAGCCAGCCUUGGAAUUCAGGAGAAAUCCUGCCCGAAAGCCAUUAUCUAGGGAAAUUGAGGCUUACUUUACAAGCAGAAGGGCUCUAUGGGGUCUGCCAGAAAAAUUUCCCUUUGACCCAGAAUUCAAAGUCUCACUGGUACUACACGUAACAUUGGAUGAUGAAGUUAGGAGAAGGGCUCCUAUGCCACAGGCAGAAAUCAGUCUAGUUUCACUGCUCUUGUCAGUCCUUGGGGUCUAAAGUGAGUCAUUGCUUAAGAACUGAGAAACGAGAGAAAUAAGGACUCCUUCUGAGCGUUAAGCUUCAAUAUGGAUACAUAAUAGAUCAGAGCAGAACACUGCAAAGUCACCUGAAAGAGACGGGCAGACACUAAACUAAGAACUUGAUGUGUAGAACCUUGUCUACUUCUCACCACAAUCCUAGGAGGCAACUUCUGUUCUUGGCCCCGCCUCCCCAGACGAGAAGACUGAAGCUAGGUCAUUGUAUUUUUCUGGUCCCUGAGGGAGACAGUACAGGGCGAUAAUUAUGUCUGUGAACACUGGAGUCAGACUGUCUGGUUUCAAAUCCUGGUUCUCAUUUUGUGAACUUGGCCACAUUGCUUAUCUUCUCUCUGCCUCAGUUUCCUCAGAUGGAAUGUGAAGGUGAUAAUCGUGCCUCUCUCCUAGCGCUGUUGUAAGGGCAAAAUGAGGCACGGUCUUAAAGAAAGCUCAUCUCACCCACGUUUACCUUCUCCCAGGUUCUGACCUGGACUGGAAAUGUUUGCCUCGCAGGUAAACAAAGCAGAAGCGUUCAGUGGCUAACGGUCUUGGAGACCGCGAUUUCAGGAUUGCAAACGUGGCUGGCCUUUACUG